UCCGAUCUGACCAGCCGGAAAGCUCCCUUCAUCUGCACUAGAGUCCUUCCCAUCACAAUGCUACAUCAUCAUCAUCUUCUUUGCCAAAAGAAAACGCCAUCCUCAAACUGGAAGAUAAUUUAAUGUGUCCUCGGAAUGGCUGCAACACCCCAGGUUUGCAUUUUCUAUGGUGGCUUAACAAAUGGCAGCUCUUCCAGAUAGGAGUUGAUUGAAGUUGUAUAUCAAGCCUUCCGCUCAUCAGAGAAGAACAAAGAGGGAAUGGUGCAUUGCAUGGUAAACCAGAAGAAUUGCACCCAGCAAUGGGCAGGAGCGUUGGACUGGAUAGUCUUUAAGAUUUAAGAUUUCUUUUUACAUUCUAUUAUUUAGAAUGUAGCAGAAUGGCUGGCAUACUGUUUAAUCCUAUCAUUUUCAUGAAUAAAAUAAGGAUCAAAAAGCA